UCAGGUUCUGUGAGCUGCAGCAGCUUGUUGUGCAGCCCAGCGGGGGUCAGAGAUGAAGAGGAGGAGGUGAAUUAGAGUCAAAUGGUCCGUGAGCGAAAGGCUCUCCUGUCUGAGAAAAGAAAGUUAAAACACAACUUCCUGUGUCAACUUUCACUUUAAUCUCCUCUGACCUGCUGAACAAACACACACCUGUCAGGUGGCAGCACUCUUCAUCAGACAGGCAGACAGCAGCACCAAACCAGAGCUGCAGCAGUGACACAGAGCUGCCCCAGACACGUGACUCAAUGCGGAAGUGGAAACGGAGUUGUCAACAGCUGAGCAGCUUCAGAGAUCGUCUAUAUAAAGAUGACUCACUCCGCGGGUUUCAGAAAACUGAUCAGCAAAGGUUGAUGACGCCAAUAAAUCGAAAAUGAAAUUGAUCUGUGAAUGCUGAGUCAGCACAAACACUGUUGGUUUCCUGUUUUUAUUACUCCUGAAGACGUUGUGCUUUUAUAGCUGUUUAUCAUGUAGAAACAUUCAGCUGUUUUAGGAGAAUUGUCCUUUAUUUACAAAUA